rnacentral:rRNA from 1 species
GAUGAACGCUGGCGGCGUGCCUAAUACAUGCAAGUCGAGCGAACAGACGAGGAGCUUGCUCCUCUGACGUUAGCGGCGGACGGGUGAGUAACACGUGGAUAACCUACCUAUAAGACUGGGAUAACUUCGGGAAACCGGAGCUAAUACCGGAUAAUAUAUUGAACCGCAUGGUUCAAUAGUGAAAGACGGUUUUGCUGUCACUUAUAGAUGGAUCCGCGCCGCAUUAGCUAGUUGGUAAGGUAACGGCUUACCAAGGCAACGAUGCGUAGCCGACCUGAGAGGGUGAUCGGCCACACUGGAACUGAGACACGGUCCAGAUUCCUACGGGAGGCAGCAGUAGGGAAUCUUCCGCAAUGGGCGAAAGCCUGACGGAGCAACGCCGCGUGAGUGAUGAAGGUCUUCGGAUCGUAAAACUCUGUUAUUAGGGAAGAACAAAUGUGUAAGUAACUAUGCACGUCUUGACGGUACCUAAUCAGAAAGCCACGGCUAACUACGU